rnacentral:rRNA from 1 species
AACGAACGCUGGCGGCAUGCCUAACACAUGCAAGUCGAACGAGAACUCCGGGCCUAGUGGCGCACGGCUGCGUAACGCCUGGUAACCUGCAUCUAGGUUCGCAACCACUCAGUUUAAUUUGAGCUCAUACAGGAUGAUGUCUUCGGACCAAAGAUCUAUUGCUUUUAGAUGGGGCCGCGUUGGAUUCGCCGGUUGGUGGGGUACAGGCCUACCAAGGCGACGAUCCAUAGCUGGUCUGGGACGAGGACCAGCCGCACUGGAGCUGAGACACGGCCCAGACUCCGACGGGGGGCAGCAGUGGGGAAUAUUGGGCAAUGGACGAAAGCCUGGUCCAGCAAUGCCGCGUGAGUGAUGAAGGCCUUAGGGUUGUAAAGCUCUUUUACCCGAGAUGAUAAUGACGGUAUCGGGAGAAUAAGCUCCGGCUAACUCCGUG